rnacentral:lncRNA from 1 species
UUGUGGAAUUCAUUGAUUUAAUUUUAUUCCUUUAGGGACAUGAUUUAUUUCUAUGAAAUUGGAUUCUCUCUAAAUCUGUUCCUACCACAUCAUAUGAAAUAUGGUAUGGUGAGAACUGAAUCUUGGUUAUUUCAAGAUCCAAGAAUGACCAGCCUGUGUCAAGGACAGUAGGUGGAUAUAUUGGAGGAUAGGUCUAUAAAGCUCAUCCUAAAAGAGUUUG